CGGGCCGAGGCCGCAAUGGCGGAGAGCCCGGCGGCCGAGGACGCGGCCCCGGCCCCGGCCGCGGUGCUGGCGGCGGGCGGCGGCGGCAGCGCCUCCCCCAGCGCCGCCGGCUCCGCGGGGACCCCCGGCGUCUUCAUCCCCGCCGAGCUCUGGGCGGCGGCGGGCUUCGGCGCGGCCGCGGCGCCCGGUACCGGCGUGGCCCCCGGUAGCGGCGGCGCCCCGAUGGCGGCGGCGGCGGCGGGGGCCGCGCUCCUCACGCACUCCGCCUUCUGGGACCCCACGGUCAGCGGCGACUGGGACAGCGAGCGGCCCAGCCCGGCCUGCCUGCUGCGGAUCAAACGGGAUAUCAUGUCCAUCUACAAGGAGCCGCCCCCGGGGAUGUUCGUGGUGCCCGACCCCCACGACAUGACCAAGAUCCACGCGCUGAUCACGGGCCCGUUCGACACCCCCUACGAGGGCGGCUUCUUCCUGUUCCUGUUCCGCUGCCCGCCCGACUACCCCAUCCACCCGCCCCGCGUCAAGCUCAUGACCACGGGCAACAACACCGUCAGGUUCAACCCCAACUUCUACCGCAACGGCAAGGUCUGCCUCAGCAUCCUGGGCACGUGGACAGGCCCGGCCUGGAGCCCGGCCCAGAGCAUCUCGUCGGUGCUGAUCUCCAUCCAGUCCCUGAUGACCGAGAACCCGUACCACAACGAGCCCGGCUUCGAGCAGGAGCGGCACCCCGGGGACAGCAAGAACUACAACGAGUGCAUCCGGCACGAGACCAUCCGCGUGGCCGUGUGUGACAUGCUGGAGGGAAAGUGUCCCUGCCCCGAGCCCCUGCGGGGCGUGAUGGAGAAAUCCUUCCUGGAGUACCUGGACUUCUACGAGGGCGUGUGCAAGGAGAGGCUGCACCUGCAGGGCCAGACCAUGCAGGACCCUUUCGGGGAGAAGCGCGGCCACUUCGACUACCAGGCGCUGCUGGGGCGGCUGCAGGCGCUGCGGGCGCGGCUGCAGGAGCGGCAGCAGCAGCAGGACAGCGCCGAGCUGGACUCGGAGAGCAGCUCCUCGGAGCCCGAGCCCGAGCCCCAGGGCUGCCCCAAGGCCUAGGAGGGCCCGGCCCGGCCCGGGACUGCGGCACAGCCAGGCCGGGGCGGGGAGAGCCGCGGGCUCCUCCUCCAUCCCUCCCUCCUUCCAUCCAUCCCUCCUUCCUGCCAUCCCUCCCCGACGGCCAGGAGAGUUCCCCGAGGAUUCCCCGAGGAGAAUUUGCCCAAAAAAGAGACAAAGCCAAGCUCGGGACAGGCUCCUCUUGGACAAAGGCAAACCAAAGAGAAAGGAAUUCUCCCUGCUGGAAUUGGGGCUCCUUCCCCAAAACUUUACUCUUUGGAGACUCCCUGUGGAAAAGUGGGAACGGCAGGAAUCCCUGGAUUGGUUCAGCCUGGAGCUUUGGGGAAGGGAGGAUGAGGAGAAAUGCUCGUGGUUAUUUCUGGAAAAUCCAAUUUAGGUUUUAGCAGGGCUUUCCUCCUGGAAACAGCUGGAGCUGCUCUGGAAUUCUCUGUCCCCACCUCGGCUGUCCCCUCCCCUCCCUGCUGCCACCCCACGGGGACAAUUCCAGCCGGACAAACCCCUGUGCCAAACUUGGUAAAAUUGGGCGUUUUUGGGAGCCCUGGCGCUGCUGAGGGCAGGGGCCGUGCCCUGGGUGACACGGAGAGGUGACAGUGGCACUGCCACCCCCCCAGGCCGGGCUGGAGGUGACAAUUCCCCCUGGAGCCGGGCUGGGGGGAGCAGGAGGAGCUGCAGGCUUCGUUUGUUCAUGGUAGGGACACAAAACUGCCUAAAAUCCCGCCCAGUUGGGACCAGUUGGGACCAGUUGGGACCAGUUGGGGACCAGUUGGGGACCAGUUUGGGACCAGUUGGGGACCAGUUGGGGACCAGUUUGGGACCAGUUGGGGACCAGUUUGGGUCCUGCUGGUGCUGGGAGAAUUUCCAGCCUGGAGACUCAUCCUGAGGGGCAGGAGAGGCCCCCAAAAUCCCCAAACCCCCCAAAAUCCCUGAGGGGCAGGAGGAGCCCCCAAAAUCCCCAAACCCCCCCAAAAUCCCUGAGGGGCAGGAGGAGCCCCCAAAAUCCCCAAAUCCCCCAAGGGGCAAAAGGAGCCCCCAAAUCCCCAAAACCCCCAAACCCCCUGAGGGGCAGGAGGAACCCAAAUCCCCCAAAAUCCCAAAAUCUCCCAAAUUCCCUGAGGGGCAGGAGGAGCCCCCAAAAUCCCCAAACCCCCCCCAAAUCCCCAAAUCCCCCGAGGGGCAGGAGGAACCCAAAUCCCCCCAAAUCCCCCAAAAUCCCCAAACCCCCCGAGGGGCAGGAGGAACCCAAAUCCCCCAAAAUCCCAAAAUCUCCCAAAUUCCCUGAGGGGCAAAAGGAGCCCCCAAAAUCCCCAAACCCCCAAAAUCCCCCAAACCCCCCAAAUC